rnacentral:rRNA from 1 species
CGGAUGGCGGUGUGCCUAUUGAAGAAUGAGCCGGCGAGUUACGGUACGUGGCGAGGUUAAGGGCUUGGAGGUCUGUAGCCGCAGGGAAACCGAGUCUUAAAGAGGGCGAAAUAGUCUCGUAUCGUAGACCCGAAGCCGUACGAUCUAUCCAUGGGCAGGUUGAAGCCUCGGUGAAACGAGGUGGAGGACCGAACCAAUGCCUGUUGAAAAAGUCUUGGAUGACCUGUGGAUAGGAGUGAAAAGCUAAUCGAGUACGGUGAUAGCUGGUUCUCCCCGAAAUGCAUUGAGGUGCAGCCUCGUAUAUUGGAAAGUGUCGGGGGUAGAGCUACUGGAUGGAUGAGGGGGACUGGGGUUCUACCGAUUUCAACCAAACUCCGAAUACCGGCACUGGAUGUACGGGAGUGAGACUACGGGUGAGAAGGUCCGUGGUCGAGAGGGAAACAGCCCAGACCGACAGCUAAGGUCCCCAAGCCCGCGCUGAGUGUGACAAGGAUGUGGGGGAGCCCAGACAGCCAGGAGGUUGGCUUAGAAGCAGCCACCCUUGAAAGAGUGCGUAACAGCUCACUGGUCGAGCGCCCCUGCGCCGAUAAUGUAGGGGGCUAAGCGCGGCGCCGAAGCUUCGGAAUGAGUGUGCGAAUGCAUGCUGAUUGGUAGGGGAGCGUUCUGUACGGGGUGAAGUCGUGCCGUGAGGCAUGGUGGACUGUACGGAAGAGAGAAUGCCGGCAUAAGUAGCGAGAAACGCGUGAGAAACGCGUUCGCCGAAAGCCCAAGGAUUCCUGGGGAAGGUUAAUCCGCCCAGGGUUAGGCGGGACCUAAGGUGAGGCCGAAGGGCGUAGCCGAUGGACAGCAGGUAGACAUUCCUGCCCCGCCCUGAUGACGUUAUGACCGAAGGGGUGACGCAAGAGGCUAGGUGCUCCGGGUGAUGGAAUACCCGGUACAAGGAUGUAGGGGGACGGACCAGGGAAAUCCGGUCUGUUUUAUAACCCUGAGAUCUGAUGUGGAUUCGCCGUAAUGGCGGAGAAGUCAUUGAGGCCAAAUUGCCUAGAAAAGCCUCUAGGGAGGAAUCGGGGCGCCCGUACCCGAAACCGACACAGGUGGGCUGGCUGAGCAGGCUAAGGCGGACGAGGUAACCCUCACCAAGGAACUCUGCAAGUUGACCCCGUAACUUAGGGAGAAGGGGUGCCGCAGCGGUGAAGUGUUUGACAUACGGAGCCGCGUGCGGUCGCAGAAACCAGGCCCAGGCGACUGUUUACUAAAAACACAGGACUCUGCUGAAGGCGUGAAGCCGACGUAUAGGGUCUGACACCUGCCCGGUGCUGGAAGGUUAAGGGGAGAGGUUAUCCGGCACUCAGCUGAUAUCAUCGGUUGAGUUGCAGGCAAGCAUUCGCUGUAUUUUUCAAGGAUCAUAGUUUGCGAGAUUUGGCGGAUGGUAUCUGCUGAGUGCCGGAGAAGCUUUGAACCGAAGCCCCAGUAAACGGCGGCCGUAACUAUAACGGUCCUAAGGUAGCGAAAUUCCUUGUCAGGUAAGUUCUGACCUGCACGAAUGGUGUAACGAUCUGGGCGCUGUCUCGGUGGGGGACUCGGUGAAAUUGUGGUACCGGUAAAGACGCCGGUUACCCGUGGUGGGACGGGAAGACCCCGUGGAGCUUUACUGUAGCCUGAUAUUGGAUUUCGGUAUGUCAUGUACAGGAUAGGUGGGAGGCGUAGAAGGCAUGGCGUCAGCUGUGCUGGAGCCGUCGUUGGGAUACCACCCUUGAUGUACUGGGGUUCUAACCGCAAGGGUCUGAAUCGGCCUGCGGGACAUUGUCAGGUGGGCAGUUUGACUGGGGCGGUCGCCUCCUAAAGAGUAACGGAGGCGCGCGAAGGUCACCUCGAGGCGAAUGGAAAUCGCCUGUGAGAGUGCAAGGGUAUAAGGUGGCCUUACUGAGAGACCGACAGGUCGAUCAGUCUCGAAAGAGGGUCCUAGUGAUCCGGCGGUACCGAGUGGAAGGGCCGUCGCUCAUCGGAUAAAAGCUACCCCGGGGAUAACAGGCUGAUCUUGCCCGAGAGUUCCCAUCGACGGCAAGGUUUGGCACCUCGAUGUCGGCUCGUCGCAUCCUGGGGCUGAAGCAGGUCCCAAGGGUUGGUCUGUUCGCCCAUUAAAGCGGUACGUGAGCUGGGUUUAGAACGUCGUGAGACAGUUCGGUCCCUAUCCACCAUGGGCGCAAGUGGUUUGAGGGGAGCUGCUCCUAGUACGAGAGGACCGGAGUGGACGCACCGCUGGUGUACCGGUUGUGCCGCCAGGCGCAUCGGCCGGGUAGCUAUGUGCGGAACGGAUAACCGCUGAAAGCAUCUAAGUGGGAAGCCGGCCCCGAGAUGAGACCACUCACCGCGGAUAAAGCGGGUAAGGUAACACGGAGACUACGUGAUCGAUAGGCCAGAGGUGUAAGGGCUGCGAGGCCUUGAGCUGACUGGUACUAAUUGACCGAGGCCUUAACCU